rnacentral:rRNA from 1 species
AGUGAACGCUGGCGGCAGGCCUAACACAUGCAAGUCGAACGGCAGCACAGUAAGAGCUUGCUCUUACGGGUGGCGAGUGGCGGACGGGAGAGGAAUACAUCGGAAUCUACUUUUUCGUGGGGGAUAACGAAGGGGAACUUACGCUAAUACCGCAUACGACCUAAGGGUGAAAGCAGGGGAGCUUCGGACCUUGCGCGAUUGAAUGAGCCGAUGUCGGAUUAGCUAGUUGGCGGGGUAAAGGCCCACCAAGGCGACGAUCCGUAGCUGGUCUGAGAGGAUGACCAGCCACACUGGGACUGAGACACGGUCCAGACUCCUACGGGAGGCAGCAGUGGGGAAUAUUGGACAAUGGGCGCAAGCCUGAUCCAGCCAUACCGCGUGGGUGAAGAAGGCCUUCGGGUUGUAAAGCCCUUUUGUUGGGAAAGAAAAGCAGCAGGUUAAUACCCCGCUGUUCUGACGGUACCCAAAGAAUAAGCACCGGCUAACUUCGUG